CUAUUUGUUUGGAGGAAGCCUCCCAGAGAGAUGGAUGGGACAACUGCUGCUCAAGCAUUAAUCUUAAUGCAGAGAGAGAGGGAAGCAGCUGCUUGCAGAGCUCUGCCAAGGGACCCCAGACCUACAGGAAUGUGUGUGAGGUGGUGCCAGCCCUGCCCCCAGUGACUGCCCCACAGCCAGGACCUGCUCUGGAGGGGACAGGGACCAAGUGACCAACAGAGACCCCCGUGCUUGUGACAAGCUCCAGCAACAAGCAGGCAAGGGGAUGUGCAAGGAAAGCUCCACUGAAAACUGGCAGAGGAAAAAGACCUUGGCAUGAGGAUAAGGUCCUGCCAAUGGCCCCAUCCCUGGGCAUUCCUGUCCCUGCCAGCUCAGGUGGCUUUGCUGGCAAUGCCCAGGGUGGGCAGUGAGGAGCCAGGGCUGCUGUGGAGUAAGAAAGUGGCUCAUGCUGAGUCAGUGGCACUGUCAGCCACGUGCUGCUGGGAUCCAGAGCAGCCUGUUUCCUUCAUGGCACAAAACCUGCACUGCUGACCUGCCACUGGGUGCUGGCUUCACAGGGAACUGCACUUGUCCUGGAAACAAGGACAGGAAAAACUUAUUUAAACUGUGAAUUAUCAUGCCUGUGGGAAGAGCUGGAGCCUCUCACUGCAGAGUGGUGCCUCCCAAGCCAAACCCAGCCUCUGAAUGUACCUUUCUUCCUGUAAGGGCCAGGCCUCCAGGAACCCGUGGUGCUGCUGGAAAGGUGCUGGCCCCUCAGCUGGGUCAGGACCUGAAGCAAUGCCUGCUGUGAGGGGACAGCAGGCACUUGGGAAGGGCUCUUGCAGAUGAGCUGAACAGCUGCUGGCUCAAAACACCAGGUCUCUACAACUGCUGCUACAGAUCUCUAAAACCACACAGGCAGCGUUUCCAGGACUGACUUGCUUUGUUCCUGGUGGAAAUGAAACCCCAACUUGCUCUGCUCAUGGUCUCCCAGAAGGAUAGAAGCACCUUCAAAGAAAAAGCAAGCAACAGCUUUAUGGAAUCACAGAGUUAAGGAGGUUGAGACCCCCAAAUCCAACAGCUCCCCCAGCACUGCCAAGGCCACCACUGAACCCUGUCUCUAGGUACCACACCUGCAUGUCUCUCAAACCUAUUCAGGAAUGGGGAUUCCACCACUGCCCUGGGCAACCUGCUCAGUGCUGCACACCCUUUCCCUGCAGAAAUUUCCCCCAGCAUCCAGUCUAACCCUCCCCUGGCACAGCUUGGGACUCUUUCCUCCCUUGUGACCUUCUAGAGCGGAUGCCAAUGCAGUAAAAAUCAGCUCCCAUCUCUGGCAGCACAGACAAAGAAGCCUGAGCCAGGAGGCAGGAGCAUCCUACUCUCCUGGAACGCCCAAGGAACCUCUGUGCAUCCCUACAGCUUCUGGACUGGCUGAGGGGAUCCCAGAAUUCAAAUCUGGCUGUGGGGACACUGCUGUUGAAGAGCCUUGGCCGCACACCAGCUGGACCCCAGCAUUGCUGAGCAUGUGGCUUGCACAGGCAUCCACAGGAGCUGCAGCUGCAAAUGAGCCCUUUGUUAGCACAGGCACCUCGACCUCCAGCUUUUGAAGAUUUGGUGAUUUUCCCACACAAUGCACUCGCUGACACAAUGUAUUUUUUGAUGCUUCUGGAGGUAAAACCAUUUCUCUAUUUCAAGCUGAGUUUGAAUAAAUUAUAGAAAGCCUCUCCAAGAUGCAGAAUGCUUUCCAAAUUGCUUAUUUUAGUUUUCCAUCUCAGCGAGGACUAAAAUCUCUUGCAUUUUUAGAGAAAGUGAUUGACAGUCCAAGUGCCACCUGUGGGCUGAAAUGGUUCUUGCUCCAGAAAACUGGGAUUGGUCUUGGA